rnacentral:ncRNA from 1 species
AAGGCCUGAUGUGUGUGAGAUUACCCGCUGAAUUUAAGCAUAUAAGUAAGCGGAGGAAAAGAAACUAACUAGGAUUCCCUUAGUAAUGGCGAAUGAACAGGGAUCAGCUCAGUGCCAAAUCGGAAUCACUUGUGGUUCUGAAAUGUGGCUUGAAGGCAGUACCAGUGGCAUCGCGGACGAAAGUCUCUUGGAAAAGAGCGUCAUAGAGGGUGAGAAUCCCGUGAGUCGUUCGCCGUUUGUCACGUACGGUCUGCGUUCUAACGAGUCGCGUUCCUUGGGAUUGGAGCGUAAACGGGUGGUAAAUUUCAUCCAAAGCAAAAUAUAUACUCGAGACCGAUAGCACAAAAGUACCGUGAGGGAAAGGUGAAAAGAACUUUGAGAAGAGGGUUAAAUAGUGCCUGAAAUCGUUGAGAAGGAAGCGGAUGCCGCCGUUGCAUAUGCUGAUUGUAGGAUUGCUGCUCGCUCCUGUCUUCUGCUACUCAUUCACAGACCUGGUCGUGUGAGCAGUGUUG